rnacentral:rRNA from 1 species
GACGAACGCUGGCGGCGUGCCUAAUACAUGCAAGUCGAGCGGAACUGGGGGAGCUUGCUCCUUCCAGUUUAGCGGCGGACGGGUGAGUAACACGUGGGCAACCUGCCCUGCAGAUCGGGAUAACUCCGGGAAACCGGUGCUAAUACCGAAUAGUUUGGCGCCUCUCCUGAGGCGCUACGGAAAGACGGUUUCGGCUGUCACUGCAGGAUGGGCCCGCGGCGCAUUAGCUAGUUGGUGGGGUAACGGCCCACCAAGGCGACGAUGCGUAGCCGACCUGAGAGGGUGACCGGCCACACUGGGACUGAGACACGGCCCAGACUCCUACGGGAGGCAGCAGUAGGGAAUCUUCCGCAAUGGACGCAAGUCUGAUGGAGCAACGCCGCGUGAGUGACGAAGGUUUUCGGAUUGUAAAACUCUGUUGUGAGGGAAGAACACGUACCAACUAACUAUUGGUACCUUGACGGUACCUCGCCAGAAAGCCACGGCUAACUACGUGCCAGCCGCCGCGGUAA